GAAAGGCAAGAACGAUGAAUACUCUGCAUCUGUAGAGACGCAUCACCCUAAAUACUGUACGGACAAUGCAGAAACCAGUUUGACCAUAAAUCAGCUUUGCUAAAAACGCCCAAUCAGGAAAAAGCUAAACCCGGAAGUAAUUUAUCCAGCUGUUGGUGUGUGUCUGAGAGAGAAACAGAGAGAGAGAAACACAGAGAGAGGAGAUGGUGGUUGUUUGUGUCUUUCUUUGGGAUGAACAUAAUACACCGUAUAAAAACGUAACCGAAGACAUAAAUCCACGUCUGGUCUCGAACAAGGAACAUUGUGGUAUUUGGGCCUGGAUGAGGUCUUGUAGCCAACCAUGUUCCCCUGCUCCACCACAACACAGCAGACCAGAGGAGAGGAGUAGACAGACAGUAGAAUUCAAUGUCAUUGUGAAGAGGACACUGUGAGUGCAGGAUGCAGUCUUCAGGCCACCGGCAGCGCGAGGACAGAGCAGCACCAACCCCUGCUGUCAGCUGACGAUGACCCUGAGGCUGGGGCUGGUCCUCUGUGUCCUCCGGCUGACCAGGACGGCCUGUGGUUCAUCCAGGACGCCUGUGGUAUAGUCUGUGGUGUGGUGACCUGGUUGU